rnacentral:ncRNA from 1 species
UGACCACAAAUCAAUCAAGAUUACCCAUUGAAUUUAGGCAUAUAACCAAGCGGAGGGAAAGAAAAUAACGAGGAUUUCUUCAGUAACGGCGAGUGAAAAAGAAAAGGCGUAAUGCUAAAUCCGAAAGGCAUUUGGCGCUAUAUUGGAAAUUUAGCGUAUAGGUGUAACUAUCUGUAACAUGCUAGAAUCCCUUCGAGCGGAGCUACAGUCAUAAAAGGUCUAGACUUAUAUGGAUAAGAAAAAAUUAUGGUAUGUUAUUCCUUGGUAAAUUAAUAGUCGAGUUUGUCUGAGACUGCAGCCUAAAGAAGGUGGUAAACCUUAUCUAAGGCAAAAAACAACCACAAAACCGAUAGCAAACAAGUAAGUGAGAUGAAGUUUCAAAGAACUUUGAAAAGAGAGUUCAAGAGGACUUGAAACCGCUGAGACCGAAACAGAUAGAAUUAU